GCUAAACGCGAAGAACCUUACCAGCCCUUGACAUCCCGGUCGCGGAUUCCAGAGAUGGAAUCCUUCAGUUCGGCUGGACCGGUGACAGGUGCUGCAUGGCUGUCGUCAGCUCGUGUCGUGAGAUGUUGGGUUAAGUCCCGCAACGAGCGCAACCCUUGUCCUUAGUUGCCAUCUAUUUAGUUGGGAACUCGUAAGGAGACCGUCGGUGACGAAACCGGAGGAAGGGUGGGGAUGGACGUACAAGUCAUCAGUCGGCCCUUACGUGUGGGGCUAGAAACGUGCUACAAUGGUGGUUACAGUGGGCAGCGAGGUCGUGAGGCCAAGCUAAUCCCUAAAAGCCAUCUCAGUUCAGAUUGUAGUCUGCAACUCGACUACAUGAAGUUGGAAUCGCUAGUAAUCGCAGAUCAGCAUUGCUGCGGUGAAUACGUUCCCGGGUCUUGUACACACCG
rnacentral:rRNA from 1 species